AGGUAGGGUGGCCGAGUAGGCGGCGAGUUGUAGCCUCGUGCACGGGCGUCCCCCAGCCA
rnacentral:tRNA from 1 species